AGCGGACAGAUGGGAGCUUGCUCCCUGAUGUUAGCGGCGGACGGGUGAGUAACACGUGGGUAACCUGCCUGUAAGACUGGGAUAACUCCGGGAAACCGGGGCUAAUACCGGAUGCUUGUUUGAACCGCAUGGUUCAAACAUAAAAGGUGGCUUCGGCUACCACUUACAGAUGGACCCGCGGCGCAUUAGCUAGUUGGUGAGGUAACGGCUCACCAAGGCAACGAUGCGUAGCCGACCUGAGAGGGUGAUCGGCCACACUGGGACUGAGACACGGCCCAGACUCCUACGGGAGGCAGCAGUAGGGAAUCUUCCGCAAUGGACGAAAGUCUGACGGAGCAACGCCGCGUGAGUGAUGAAGGUUUUCGGAUCGUAAAGCUCUGUUGUUAGGGAAGAACAAGUACCGUUCGAAUAGGGCGGUACCUUGACGGUACCUAACCAGAAAGCCACGGCUAACUACGUGCCAGCAGCCGCGGUAAUACGUAGGUGGCAAGCGUUGUCCGGAAUUAUUGGGCGUAAAGGGCUCGCAGGCGGUUUCUUAAGUCUGAUGUGAAAGCCCCCGGCUCAACCGGGGAGGGUCAUUGGAAACUGGGGAACUUGAGUGCAGAAGAGGAGAGUGGAAUUCCACGUGUAGCGGUG
rnacentral:rRNA from 2 species